AGUGGCGGACGGGUGAGUAACACGUAAGAAUUUGCCUUUAGGAGGGGGACAACAACUGGAAACGGUUGCUAAUACCCCAUAUGCUUUCGAGUGAAAUGGAUUUUUCCGCCUAAAGAGAAGCUUGCGGCUGAUUAGCUUGUUGGUGAGGUAAUGGCUCACCAAGGCGACGAUCAGUAUCUGGUUUGAGAGGAUGAUCAGACACACUGGAACUGAGACACGGUCCAGACUCCUACGGGAGGCAGCAGUGGGGAAUUUUCCGCAAUGGGCGAAAGCCUGACGGAGCAAUCUCGCGUGAGGGAUGACGGCCUAUGGGUUGUAAACCUCUUUUUUCAGGGAGGAACAAGAUGACGUGUACCUGAAGAAUAAGCAUCGGCUAACUCCGUGCCAGCAGCCGCGGUAAGACGGAGGAUGCAAGUGUUAUCCGGAAUCACUGGGCGUAAAGCGUCUGUAGGUGGUUUGAUAAGUCAACUGUUAAAUCUUGAAGCUCAACUUCAAAAUCGCAGUCGAAACUAUUAGACUAGAGUAUAGUAGGGGUAAAGGGAAUUUCCAGUGGAGCGGUGAAAUGCGUAGAUAUUGGAGAGAACACCGAUGGCGAAGGCACUUUACUGGGCUAUUACUGACACUCAGAGACGAAAGCUAGGGUAGCAAAUGGGAUUAGAUACCCCAGUAGUCCUAGCCGUAAACAAUGGAUACUAGAUGU
rnacentral:rRNA from 1 species